AAUUUUAUUGCUUGAAUUACGAUUUUAUAGAUCUGUUUUAUACCACCGAUUUUUAAAGAGUAUUUUGAUAAAUGAGGUCUACAAAGACGCCGAAGACGGAAAUGUAUGCUCAGCGUAACGCUAAAAAGUGUUUGCUCAUAAAAUUUAAGCUGUUGUGUCAUCGUAUAGGGCCGACAGAGUGUACUAAAACCGACAAGAGAUUAAACAAAACUGAAAUUUAUUUCUCAUCAACCCGAUAAAGUAUAUAAAUUGUAACUCAAAAGCGUAAAUUUCAACAAUAAAAGAUUCUUUGUGAAAGAUUUUAUUGUCAAUAGGAACAAUAACCUUGGGUUUGUGUGACUUACCUCCCGCUUUCACAUAAGUUUACUUAGUCGGGAGAUACGGAAGAGAUUUAUUGAUGGAAAUGACAUCAUCGCGGAAACUACAGGAAUAUGAUUGGUGAGCUGGUUGGCAGAAAAACAAUACAUUUUGUCCCAGUAUAGUUGGAAAUAUGAGAAUAGGUAUGUACAGAGGAAGGACGAACACGAGAACAAUAAACAUCUGGGACGCGCUCAGUAGUGCCGGUAGCUAAUCUCUGUGUGCAAAAUGAUUGACGUUUCUGAAUUCCACGACCGCAUGUUCUGGAGCACUGGUUUUAUAAAGUAGAAGAAGACAUAUUUCGUCGACAACCUCCCGAGAAUCCAGAACUCUGAAAUAACGGUAUCAAUCAAUUUCUGAAUUAACUUUGCAAUUUUUUUAACAAGCCUAUUCAAAUGACUCCAUGAACGUAUAUAUUAUUAAUGUUUACCAACCUCAG